CAUGCUAGAGCACUUUUUCAAUGUGCUCCCCAACGACAAGGCGCCCAACGCAUUCGUAUGUCAAUCCAUAUCAACUUUCGAUGCCAUUUACUGCGCCUACCAUGGUGACCAUGGGUAACAGGGAAUCAGGGUUCAAUUCCGUACAGGGACCCUGACAAACUGCUACCACAUGCAAGGAAGGCAG